AGUGCAGUCGCACGGGACAGGAACAGCAUGAAGAUCCGGUCCAGGGUCCACUCGGAAGUUGCACCUGUCCAGUGGAUGAAGGACUCAUCUAGUGUUUCUUGUUCCUGUCUGUCUAGAUCUUCCUGAUGUUGCUGAUUAGAACUCAGCGCUCUCCGGGAAGCACAAAAAUUGGAUCAAUCUGUCAAGCAAAAAAGGAGAUGAAGGGCGCUCUCUGGGAAUGAAUAUAUGUAAAGCCUCCUCUGCUCUCCAAAGACUCCUUUUGUGGAACUCAGCUUUCAACAGUCCGACAUCCAAAGAAGGCAGACAUACCACCCUGACAACUUAAAUAAAAAUUUCAACAUUUUUUUUGUUAAAUAUUAAA
rnacentral:lncRNA from 1 species